UAAACAGAGCUUCCACUCGGAAGGAAAUUUCCUUCCAAAAGGAUAUUUUGGCAUUUGGAAGGAAAAAUAAAAGGAAAUAAGAUUUGGAAGGAAAUUGGAAGGAAAUUCGGACAUUUUGAAGGAAAAGAGAAGGAAAUUUUACAAUUUAAACCUUUUCAGUAAUUUCUAGUAAUUUAAUAAUGGUUAAACACUUUAUUAUGAACUUUUCAGUUCAAAAACAUUUAUAAAAACAAUACUUUGGAUAUUUACAUAACUAUCAAGGAUGAAUGGGGGUAAUUUGGGACUUAACAGGUCUUCAGUGAAAGAGUAGAGUACUUGUAUAUAAAUAACGGGGGCUCAAUUUUUUCGCGGGUUUUUAAUUUUUAUAACCCAAAAUUAAAAACAAACAGUCGGAAAAAGGGAAACUGUAAUUUCUAAGCCAAAAAAAGUAAUUUAUAAAUUAUGAUGGCUCAUAUUUAGUCAUUGAGUCGACAUCAAGUAGUUUUCAAAUGCAAACGGAGUAGAAAGCGUGCAGGAAUAGGGUCUGGUCCAAAAGCAAAUUCAUAAAAAAGUCGUUUUACUAUGUCGUUCGAGAAAACAGACAAAAAUGAGACAACAGAACAUGUUGUUUCAGGUUAAAUUAGAGUUUCACUAUUUGAAUACUGCAGUACACCUUCAAUUUACAUCGGAAUAAAGUACAAUGCAAAAUUUACUAUACUAUUUUAAACUGAGAUUGGAAGGAAAAAUGGAAGGAAAUUUAGGAUUUUGGGAAGGAAAUUUUGCGAAAAAAAAGGACAAAAACGAGAAAUUUUGCUUUGCCACAGUGGAAGCACUGUUGGGGAG